GGGAGUGAGGUUGAUCCAGCUGUAACAUCUGUCACCCUAUUAAUGGCCAGGGUUCAUGUACCUAUUUUUGUCUGACUAGGAGGAUGUCCCCUUCUUGACUGCUUUAUGUGUCUCCCUCUGGAAGCUGUAUGCUUUGUUUGAGGAUGACAUUCUUUGAAUAAAGUCAGUCUUAAUGUUCUUUGGUGGAGGGUCUGCAAGUAGCUGCAUUGCCCUGCUAGAACCUCCAAACAAGCUCUCAAGUACAUCAUCUUGUGAUGCACUUCAUCUUUCUGGCCUUAUCACCAAUUCUACCCAUGGCUGCAACAUACUAUACCAGGUAGGCUUU
rfam:Erinaceus europaeus unplaced genomic scaffold scaffold00384, whole genome shotgun sequence